rnacentral:rRNA from 1 species
CCAUGCCGUAAACGUUGGGCACUAGGUGUGGGGGACAUUCCACGUUCUCCGCGCCGUAGCUAACGCAUUAAGUGCCCCGCCUGGGGAGUACGGCCGCAAGGCUAAAACUCAAAGGAAUUGACGGGGGCCCGCACAAGCGGCGGAGCAUGCGGAUUAAUUCGAUGCAACGCGAAGAACCUUACCAAGGCUUGACAUUCACCGGACCGCCUCAGAGAUGGGGUUUCCCUUCGGGGUCGGUGGACAGGUGGUGCAUGGUUGU